GAUCCUGGCUCAGGAUGAACGCUAGCGGCAGGCCUAACACAUGCAAGUCGAGGGGCAUCACGAGGUAGCAAUACUUUGGUGGCGACCGGCGCACGGGUGCGUAACGCGUAUGUAACCUACCUAUAACAGGGGCAUAACACUGAGAAAUUGGUACUAAUUCCCCCACUAAUAUUCGGAGAGGCAUCUCUCCGGGUUGAAAACUCCGGUGGUUAUAGAUGGACAUGCGUUGUAUUAGCUAGUUGGUG
rnacentral:rRNA from 1 species